GGAAGCUUACCAGGGCCUAUGCACUUGAGAUCGGGGGGCUGUGGAGGGCCGGCGAGAUUGUGCAGGGAGUGGUGCAUGGCCGUUUGCAACACGUGGGGUGACCUGUUAGGUUAAUUCCGGCAACGCGUGAGGCCGCUGGGGCAAUGUUUUGCCGGACGGGCUGCGGCAAGCGGCAGGAAGAGGGGCGAUAACAGGUCAGUGAUGCCCUCAGAUGUUCUGGGCAGCACGCGCACUACAAUGAGCAGGGGAGGGCGCCCCGAGAGGGGCGGACGAAAGCUGGGUAUGGCGGGGACAGGCCGUUGUGAAUUGGUCUCGAACUCGGAAUUCCUAGUAAGCGCGGGUCAGCAGGCGGCGCUGAAUGGGUCCCUGUUCUUUGUACACACCGCCCGUCACUAUCUAAGAUGGAUGCGCUGGCGAAAUGGCCGGAGGGAAGGCAGUUGAGCCCGUGGAACUAGAUAAGAUGU
rnacentral:rRNA from 1 species